UACGGGGGGGGCAAGCGUUGUUCGGAAUUACUGGGCGUAAAGGGCGUCGUAGGCGGCCAACUAAGUCAUACGUGAAAUCCCUCAGCUCAACUGAGGAACUGCCUUUGAUACUGCAUGCUUGAGGCCGGGAGGGGGUGAGCGGAAUUCCCGAGUGUAGCGGUGAAAUGACGUAGAUAUUGGGAGGAACACCAGUGGCGAAGGCGGCUACCUGGACCGGUGCGUGACGCUGAUGCGCGAAAGCGUGGGGAGCAAAGCAGG
rnacentral:rRNA from 1 species